AACGAACGCUGGCGGCGUGGAUAAGACAUGCAAGUCGAACGGGAUAACAUCUGUAGCAAUACAGGUGUUAUUUAGUGGCGAACGGGUGCGUAACACGUGGGCAAUCUGCCGAGAAGUGGGGGAUAGCUCGCCGAAAGGCGAAUUAAUACCGCAUAUGAUCAGUGAAGACAUCUUCACGACAUCAAAGCCGGGGCAACCUGGCGCUUCUUGAUGAGCCCGCGGCCUAUCAGCUAGUUGGUGAGGUAACGGCUCACCAAGGCUAUGACGGGUANCUGGUCUGAGAGGGACGACCAGUCACACUGGAACUGAGACACGGUCCAGACACCUACGGGUGCAGCAGUCGAG
rnacentral:rRNA from 1 species